rnacentral:rRNA from 1 species
UGCGUAGGCGGAUAUUUAAGUAGAAAGUGAAAGGUUGGAGCUCAACUCCAACAUUGCUUCCUAUACUGGGUGUCUUGAGUUUCGGAGAGGAAGAUGGAACGACACGUGUAGCGGUGAAAUGCGUUGAUAUGUGUCGGAACACCAAUAGCGAAGGCAAUCUUCUGGACGAAUACUGACGCUGAGGCACGAAAGCCAGUAGCGAACA